rnacentral:tRNA from 1 species
CGGGGCGUGGCGCAGUCCGGUAGCGCACCUGCUUUGGGAGCAGGGGGUCCCCAGUUCGAAUCCGGGCGCCCCGA